rnacentral:misc_RNA from 1 species
UCCGGCUUAUCGCCGGCAGUUCCACUAAAGUGCCCAGCCAAACCUGACGGCAAUUAGCAGUAAGGGUUGCGCUCGUUGCGGGACUUAACCCAACAUCUCACGACACGAGCUGACGACAGCCAUGCAACACCUGUGUAGAAGCCAGCCGAACUGAAGGAGAUCAUCUCUGAUCCCCAAACUUCUCAUGUCAAGAGCUGGUAAGGUUCUGCGCGUAGCCUCGAAUUAAACCACAUACUCCACCGCUUGUGCGAGUCCCCGUCAAUUCCUUUGAGUUUUAAUCUUGCGACCGUACUCCCCAGGCGGUGUGCUUAACGCGUUAGCUCCAACACCGAGUAUCUAAACCCGACAUCUAGCACACAUCGUUUACAGCGUGGACUAC